AGUUCUUAAACUCAACUGAACUCAGUCAUCGCGGUCUCGAACCCCACUACAUAGUAUGCGGGGAGAGAGAGCUCCCGUGCAAUUUUCAUUCAUAUUUGACAAUCCAAACAAUGGCCGCCUAACAUAUGAGUGGUGCGAGAUCGAUUCAAGUGCAGUGUCUCGUUUUUAAUAUGAUGUGAUUUAAUCGGAAGCAAGAAAAAAUGUGGAUACCGACGAAAACAAAAAAGUACGGCGUCGCCAUUUACAAUUGGCGUGGCGACAAGAAAUUCGGCCUACCUUUAGAGAUCGGUGAAACAGUACAAAUUUUAGAAGAAUGUUCGGGGUGGUAUCGUGGAUUUUCGAUGAAAAAUCGCGCCGUCAAAGGUAUCUUUCCACAGAGUUACAUCCAUCUAAAACCGUGCAAGGUCGACAACGAGGGAUUGUUCGAAAGCGUUGUGCCAUUGGAAGAUCCUAUAGUCAGGGAAGUUACCUUAGUGUUAAGAGAGUGGAGUGAUAUAUGGAAAAAACUUUAUGUGGAAAGAGAAACUUACAAAUUUGAUACAGUGGGAAAAGUGAUGCGGGAUCUACUUGAAUGGAGGAGGCAGUUGGUGUCGGGAACCUUAACACAUGAUCAGACUAAGGAAUUAAAAACAAAGAUCAUUGCUAAAAUUGAUUGGGGUAACAGGAAGUUGGGUUUAGAUCUGGUACCUCGUCAAGGUUCUCAAAUGGUUGAUCCAGAAGAUAUGUCUGUAGUUGAACUAUAUCAUGUACACGUUUCGAGCGCUGAAAAUUCCCAAGGUGUUUCUUCAAGGGGGACAAUCAGAAAACGGGAAACGAAGAAAAUCUUAACUCAUCACUUAUACUUUUGUAUGAGAGAUUUCGGGCAUCAUAUUGGUGAAGAUACCGAAAUUUAUUUUUCUUUGUACGAUGGCCGAAAACAAUCCUACAUUUCCGAACGGUUCCUAGUCAAAAUUUCCAAAGAAGGAUUUUCAAAUUAUGUAGACAAAUUACAUAGCAACUGUACCGUUUUUACUGAUUUAGGAAAUGAUGAUCUUUCAAAAGAGAUUUACAUCGUAGCGCACAUAAUGAGAAUAGGAAAAAUGCUUUACUCAGAGAGUUCCAAAAAGACUGAAAAGAACGUUUCAACGAUGCAGCAAGUUUAUAAACGACCACACGGAGUUGCCAUUCAGAAUUUAGCCGACGUGUUAUUAAAUAAAAAUGAUUCCGACGAAAAAGAAUUCACGCUCAAAGUAUACCAAGGUGAAGAAAAAGAUUUUCAUCAACUACACGAAUCAUUAAUUAGACAAUCUGGAAAAUAUAGCGCUCUUUCGUGUCAACCAAACUAUGGUAUAAUAAUUUCAUUAAAAAUGUACCAUGGUCAAUUAAGCCAAAUCAAAGAAGAGCAUCCAUUACUCUUUAAAAAUAUGAGUUUAACGAAUAAGUUGGGUUUUCCUGAUGUGAUAAUGCCUGGGGAUGUGCGAAAUGAUUUGUAUUUGUUAUUGGAACGAGGUGAUUUCGAAAGAGGGGGUAAAUCCACUGGAAAAAACAUAGAAGUUACAAUUAUCGUAUUGGAUAGUGAAAAAAAUUUGUUACGGCAUUGUUUAUGGGGUGCAUCAGGGAUGGAUGGAGCUUCCGAAUACAACUCAAUGAUAAUUUAUCAUCAUAACUCACCAGCUUGGGCUGAAAAUGUUCGUUUAACACUACCAAUAGAUAAAUUUGCCGGGGCUCACGUGCGAUUAGAAUUCAGACAUUGUUCAACAAAAGAUAAAAACGAUAAAAAAUUAUUUGGUUUUUCAUUUAUCCGAUUAAUGGAUAAAGAUGGGGCUGCUGUAAAAGAUGGUCUUCACGAACUUUACAUUUAUAAAUGUGAAGAUGCACAAAAAUUGGAUAAUUGUGGUUACUUGAGUUUGCCUUCUUUUAGUAAGGACAUUGAAGGUAAUCAUGAAGCGAGUGGGGCAUUUUCAAGAAGCCACAAAGAAAUUAUUUGCGUUCGAACUUUAUUAUGCUCUACGAAAUUAACACAAAAUGUUGAUUUAUUAUCUUUAUUACGAUGGAAAUCUCACCCGGAGAGAAUACAAGAAUCUUUACAACGUGUAUUAAGACUAGGUGAUGAAGAAUUAGUAAAAUUUCUUCAGGAUGUUUUAGACGCUUUAUUCGCGUUAUUUUCAACUGAAGAAGGAAACUCUACGCAUUACAGCGGUCUCGUUUUCCAUGUUCUAGUCUCUAUUUUCAGCUUAUUGGAUGAAUCAAAGUUUCAGUUUUUUAAACCAGUUUUAGAUGCUUAUAUUAAAGAUCAUUUUUCAGCCGCUUUAGUUUACAAGGGAUUAUUAACCAGUGUUCAACACUGCGCCGAUUACGUUUUAUCUUUUGAUAAGCAAGAACCAAUUCAGAAAUGCUUUAAAAGUUCCGAAUAUAUUUUUAAAUUAAUCAUACAAAGUCGAUUGUUGUUUUCGCGCGCAACUUGUGGACAACACGAAGAUAGUUUUAGACGAGAUUUGUACAACGUUUUUGCUUCCUUAAAUAAUAUGCUGUCGAUAAGUUCACAAACAAUUAUUCAAACUCAGGCUGCUCUUCUUUAUUCAAUAAGUCCCGUUUAUGAGCAAUUAGUUGAAGUUCUUCCAAUAAUUGAGGUUACAAAAUUUGCUGUUGCAAUGUUAGAUAAGAUUCCAAAAGAUCUUCCACAACCUCUUGUACAAGCAAAGUUAACGGCCAUCAAGAAUUUAGUUCAAACUAAAUUAUUCCAAGACGAUGAAUCACGUAGUAUUUUGUUGACAAAUACUUGCAAACAUUUACGUUACCACAUGUUAUAUAGGGUGGAACUUAAAUUAUGCACGGAAAUAUUAGGAGAAAUUUUAGGUUUUCUUUGUAAACAUCGAAAGUUAUCAGAAAAACAAGAAAAAGUUAAUAAUUGUAUUCACCACGAUAUUGAUACUCUCUGCAUAAGUAUUUUUGAAGUUUUAAUUCAAACCGUUUUGAUUAUAAUUGAUAAGGAUACAAAAAUUAUUGGUUGUUUGGUGGCAUGCCUAAUUGGAUUAUUACAACUACUUGAUGAAUACCACUAUAAAAGGUUAUGGGAAACGUUGAUGGGAAUUAAUUUAGACAGGAAACCUUUAAAAGAUUUCUUAAUGAGAGUCUUUUUGGUAUUUAGAGAGUUGGUUAAACAAGAAGUUUAUCCACCCGAUUGGCUUAUUAUUAAAAUGGUCGCUAAUAAUGUUAUGUUAAAAGCUUUACAGGAAUUAGCUCAACCACUAGCUUUUAAAUUUUUGGAUAGCCGAACUGGAUAUUUUGAUAAAGAAUUAUGGACCAAUUAUUUUAAUUUAGCAGUAGAUUAUCUUACCCAACAAUCGUUGCAAUUAGAACAAUUUUCAGAAGUAAAACGAGAAAAAAUUAUCGAAAAAUACGGAGAUAUGCGCGUUUUAAUGGGUUUUCAAAUAUUAUCAAUGUGGUCUCAAUUAGGUGAACAUAAACUUCAUUUCAUCCCAUCUAUGGUAGGACCAUUCUUGGAGGUGACUUUAGUACCGGAAUUGGAGCUGCGCAAAGCGACGCUUCACAUAUUUUUUGAUAUGAUGGAAUGCGAACAACAAGCAAGAGGAAACUUUAGACAAGUCGAAAGUGAACUUAUUGAUAAAUUGGAUAUUUUAAUUUCUGAAAAUAAGGGUGAUGAUGAAUACAGAAGAUUAUUUAAUACAAUGGAACAUUUAAGUGCUGUGCUUUUGGAUCGAGUCCAAGCCGAGGAUCCGGCGUGGAAAGACAGCGGAGCUGCUUUUAUAAGCUCAGUAACGAGACUUCUAGAAAGACUUUUGGAUUAUCGAAGUGUUAUUCAAGGCGAUGAAAAUAGGGAUAAAAGAAUGUCUUGUACUUUUAAUUUAUUGAAUUUUUAUAAAAACGAAUUUAAUCGAAAAGAAAUGUAUUUGAGAUACAUUUAUAAAUUACACGAUUUACAUUUAUCGGCUGAAAAUUACACUGAAGCGGGAUUUACAAUGAAGUUAUAUGCUGAUCAAUUAUCUUGGAAUAAUAAUAUGGUUACUGAUCCUGCUUAUGCUGGUUAUACGGAAGGACAAGUUAAAGAAAAGUUGUAUCAUUUGAUUAUAAGCCAUUUUGAUAGAGGGAAGUGUUGGGAAAAAGGAAUACCUUUGUUGAAAGAAUUGGCUGUUUUAUACGAAACUCAAUUAUUUAAUUACCGGGCUUUGAGCGAUAUUUUAAGACAACAAGCGAAGUUUUACGACAACGUUUUACAACAACUUAGGCCAGAACCUGAAUAUUUCAGAGUUGGUUUUUAUGGAUUAAGCUUCCCAUUAUUUGUCAGGAACAAACAAUUUGUAUACAGAGGAUUAGAAUACGAAAGAAUCGGCGCUUUUACUCAAAGGCUACAAACUGAAUUCCCUUCAGCUCAAAUUUUAAUGAAAAAUACUCCACCUGAUGACACAAUAAUAAAUUCAGAUGGACAAUUUAUCCAAAUAAGCAAUGUGAAACCAAUUCCAGAACCGAGUACGAUCGUUUCAGCGCACGAUAUCCCCGAAAAAAUCUCGCGUUUCUAUCAUUACAACGACGUAAGAAGAUUUCAGUUCGAUCGUCCAAUUCACAAAGGAAUUGUCGAUAAAGAAAACGAAAUUAAAACGUUGUGGAUAGAAAGAACUAUAUUGGAAACAGAAAAUUCAUUACCUGGAAUUUUACCAUGGUUUGAAGUUAUUAGUAGAACGACGGAAGAUGUUCCUCCUGUUAAAUUUGCUUGCGAAACUAUGCAACUUGUUCAAAAGGAGUUGAGGCAGUUAAUUGCAACGUACACCCAGGAACCUAAACGAAAUUUAAAUCCUUUUACUAUGAGAUUACAAGGAAUUAUCGAUGCGAAUGUUCAAGGUGGCAUCAGUAAAUAUCAACAAGCUUUUUUCACACAGGAAUUUUCUAAAUUAUGUCCAGAACAUAUGCCAUAUGUUUAUAUGUUGAAGAAUUUAAUUUUUGAUGCUAUUCAAGUUUUAGAACAAGGUUUACAACUACACGGUACGUUAGCUUCAUCUGGAGUAAAACCAUUACAUCAACGUUUAAUAGAAAGAUGUGAACAAUUAAAAGAAAGCUUGGGAGCAUUAAACAAAAUGAAAAGACAACCAGAAAGCAUAGUAAAUAUGCCUUUACCGCCCUUGCCAGUAGACAAUCGCUAUCUUAUUAAAACAAACAGUAAUCGAUCUUCAAAUUCCAGUGGAAAUUAUGGAUUCCUAGCGGAGGCCAUCGUUGAGAACGACGACAUUUACACGAAACCGAUGGUUAGACGCAUGAACGAUGUGGUUGCUAAAACUAUUUCAGCUGCUAUCUAUCACGAAGUAGAAAAAGCUCCAAGUAGAGAUAACUUAUCACUGCCAAUGAAUAAUGCCUCGACAAGUGUAGCGCCACCAAUACCCCAACGAGAAAGCAGACCACGUUCUCAAGGUUUUAAUAUGUGUUAUGAAGGUAUUAGAACACCCACAAGAGGCAGUGCGGAUUACUCAAGUUUACCAAGUAAUUUAAAAUCAAGAGAUUCAGAUUCUGAUAUUCAAUUACCGCCGAAACCGACACAUUCUCGAGAAAGAUCUUUAACCAAGCCACCCUCUCCGAGAUUGUUACGACACUCUAUGGGAACUCCAACUGAAGGAAAUGGGCCGUUAAGAAAUUCUUGGCCUGAUGGAAGUGUCGAUGAAGCCCCACCUCUUCCACCACGAUCACACACUCCUGAUAAACGAGUAAAUUCGUUUCCAAAUGACGUCCCACCAAACAUACCAAAAAGGGGUCAAAAGAAAUCGACAUCUUCGGUGUUUAGUAUUGAGUCAAUGGUUGAUAUCACUUUGGAUAAUACAUCUUUAUCAGUUUUGACGAAUAAUUUGGCGGUUACGGAAGGAGAACAACACGAUCUUCGAGAUUCUGGUAUUAGCAUGUCUAUGUCUGAUCAAGCGAGUUUAAAUAAUUUCAAUAACACUUGUUAUGAAGAAUUUGAUUUGAGGGCGCACCAACAAGAGAUGAAUAUUAGUACCAGUCCGGGUAACGUUAGUCCGAAAUUGGAGAAUCCACCACCGAUUCCACCAAAAGGAUUGAACUCGUCGUUGAAUUCCAGCUUUGAGCUUAUUGGGAGUUUGGAACGUGCCAAUCGAAAGGAUACGGUGGUGGUUGAUACGACACCAUCCCCGGAAAAUUAUUCAGUACCAAAGAUGAAGAAUGAAAGCGAUGAAAAUCAAAAUAGUAGCCCGUGUUAAAAGAAUAAAAAGUAGAUGAUGUCAGUUUGUGUAGAAUUUCAGUGAGUUUAAAAAAUUAAAUGAAUUAAAAAAAGUAAUAAUAAUUUUUUACGUUGUGAUUUUAUGUUAACCAUCUUUAUUUUUAAAUCAUUUUUAGUGUAUUUAUCAUUCCCCUGCUCAGUAUACAAAAAUUUGUGUAAUUAUUCCAUUGUUUUUACCAUUUUUUAAAAUUAAAAUAUAAUUAUUA